UUUAUGAAAUAAGUAGUUUGGCACUAUGCAGCAGUUCAGUUGAUUGCUGACUGCUCUCAGCUUGCCAAUAGCUCCAUUCUUGUCUCUUCACAGUUUCAAAAAAAUAUAGAGUUUGUGGCCAAAGUUCUUUCACAGAAGCCUGAAACAGAGUUGCUGAUAGAGGAAGUGAUUUGUAUAUUAUAGUAUAUUGCCCUGCGGUCGCAUGCCAUAAAGCUGCUUGCAUGGCUUCCUCCAGUAAUAUAUCCAGUUGAAAGUAUGAGCCUAUAGCUGCAGUGAACGCAAAUCAUUGCAUUUGUAACUAACUAGGAAUAAGGUAGACAGGGGCACAAGACCUUGUUGGAACAUAACCUAUGCAUGGAUUGUUAAAUUGUUAGAGUUCGGAGAAUCCCUUAUAAGUAGCUGAGGCAUCACAGUAAUUAGCCAGCAAGCAGAGCAAACAAGUAUGUGAUAAACUCAAGAAUUAAAGGUUUUUUACAAUACUGUUCCCUAAACUAUGAAAUGCAACAAAACAAAAGUAUUCUCUGACACUGUCCCUGUUAGUAGGUUGAACAUCAUAUAUGCUCAACCUCAUGAAUUGUGGCUAGAAAAUAAAAGGUCACUCAAAGUAUAGUGGUACGUUUAAAUUGGUUAUGUAAGAUAAGCAAAAAUGUUGAAUUCCUAUUGGUUUAUGUAUGUGUUUUUCAAUGCUUAGUAACCAACCUUUUCAUAAGUUAUUUCAAGAGAAGUUUUCAUUUAAUGCCCAUGGAAUUUAAUAGUACAUCUCAAGCACGUAAAUGAACUUCACAUAAAUGCCUUUAUGGCAUUAUAUGGUAAUUUUGGUCAGACCAUAGUUUCCAUUUUGUACUAUCCAUUGUGCAUUGUUGGCUGACUGAUACUUCAUACAUCCUCUUCUAUAAAAAAAAAAAAAAAAAAAAAAACUCUCAAGAGAUGGAUCUGGUCUAUUCAUAUUUUUCUUUGCAGUCACUGGGGUAGAUAAAGAGAUUUAUAAGAAUAUAUUCCUUGGCAGAACAGUUUCAACCUAGGAGAUACUUGAAAUAGAGAAAGCGUGUGAAGGUUAUUUCACCUUUCCGGGUAAAUACUUUAUUAUUGACUCUUUCAUCAUAAUUUUUUUUGUUUGUCUCUGGUUUUGGGUGGUUUUGGUUUUUUAUUUUUACAAUUUUCUAGGUAUUUUAUCCAGAUAUACCUAUCGUUUUGAUAUCUAGAAAAUUAUGAACGAGUUUAGUAGUUGUUGCUGUUCAUUCCCCAGAUUUUAUUUCUUAUUUUUUGUUUUCUCCAUAUGAUAACACUCUUUUCUCUUCUUGCACUUGAAAUCUGGUAAUGCAUGCGUUGGUCUAUUCUUAAACUGGUAUUUAAAAUGGUUUCAGAGUUGUUUACACUGUGGCCCCAGCACGAUACAAAAUGAAACGACUGUUCAGUGAUGUGUAUGAGGCAUCAAUUGCUCUGAUGUGGCUAUUACCAUUUAUUAAUACAUUACUCGCUUCAUGGUAUGCUAACAAAAUGUGACACACACACUGUACUUAACAUUGUUUCUGAUAUUUUCUUUAAAUGUUUUAAACAGGUUUUAAUUUUUUGUUUUUGUUAUGGGGUUAAUACUUUUUUCUUGGUUGUAAAUUAAAAUAUAACAUAAAUUUCACAUGUAAAAAAGUAUAGAUAUGAUCUCAGUAUAAUGUGCAAAUUAAGAGAAAUAUAUUGUAAAAAAAAAUCACUUAAUAAAAUGAAAGUGAAUGCAAAAAAAAAA